rnacentral:lncRNA from 10 species
AAUUGUGCUGAGAAACAAAGGAGAGUGGAUGAAGAACACAGCAGCCUGCCUCCACAGCUUUGGAAUCGAUGUGCAAAUAAUUUCCUUGGGAGGAACUCUUUAUAUACAAGAGGAUUCACUCCAAAUUGUACACCACACUCAGGCAUGGGACUAAGAUAAUGAAAGAGAGGCACCUGACUCAAGCAAUGGAUGUCGGAGCAGAAGACUAGAAGGCAAAGCAAGUACAUGCUACCUGUCUGGGCAAGACCUUUCAGUGCCUUUCCAUAUUUCAAUGGGUAGUCAUCUGCACACCUUCCAGUCUUUUCUUCUGUAUUGCAAAGGCUAGAAGCCUUGGUACUAUAUUUAUCAAACUUACUUUUUUUUUUUUUAACAAAUCUUCAAUGUGAUUCUCAUUUUGCUAAGAUACAUUUGUAUGAAAUUUUGAGAUAGAAAAGUAUGAAUAAGAAAGCAUUGCCUUCUUUCUCAGUGGCAGCACACAAACAUAUGGACUUCACAGACACGACAUUUUGCAGCAACUUCUAGAUCUUCCCCCUGUGAGUGCCCUGGGACAUCAUUACAAUAAAUAAACCAUUCAGGAAGUCAAAGGAUGGUAGUUUUCACAGAAGCAUUGCAAGCAUUGAGAAGAAAAAUAAUCCAUAUCUAGUAGGUUUAUUUUUAUGAGGAUAAAUCUCUGGCCUCUCCAUAUGGAAAAGGAUCUCCUGUAAGUUAAUCCUGCCAUCAGGUUGCUGGCUGGUUUGCCUGGGAUAUAAAGCCCUAUUAGUGAGCCAGUGGUGACCUUUGCUGCUGUCUGGUUAGAUGCGCAGCAGCACUGCAGUCACCCUUUCUGAGGGAAAGUUCACGUUUUGAAGCCUAGGUAGAAAUUCUCUCUGUACCACCAUGGUUUCACUGAAUGUGAGUCAAUUGAGGCAUCACCAGGGUGGCAAAAAGUUAUCAAGUCAAGCCCAGUCAACUCAGAAAAUUCAUCUCAGAAUUCCAUUUUACGUCAAUUUCCUGGCAUAAUGUUGAAACACUCUGCCCUUUAGUAUCUGGAACAAUGUCUAACACAAUAAUGCUUAACGCCGGGGAAAUGAGGGCAUAGGUCUGAAUCUCCGGAGAUUCCUUUUAUGGGGAAUAUCUUUUAACACCCCUUAGGAAACAACAUCAACUCACUAAAGACAGUACCAAUAAGGUCUCCUGCCUUCCCCAGGAAUAAAGAUUUAAAUCACACCAGCUCAAUGCUGGUUGAGGGCAAGGGAACAAUGAAUGGCUUGUGGAAGGGGAAAGUUAAAAAUGCAAAUUACAACUUUGUGCCCCAUUUAAGGAAAGAGAACUUGAAUAGCUAUGCAUAUUUGUGUUUUCUUCCUUGCUUUGUUAUGUACAUAUUUGUAUAUAUCAGCCACUAACUUCUUAUCUUUCCUUCAUUCUUCACUUACUAAUUUACAUAAGGUACUGGUAGUUCAUAUAAAUUCAUUUUUAGAGACUAAAUAUAAAAGCAGAAUUGCAACUGAACUUAAGCAAGAAUCAUUAUCACCCAGGGCUAGAUUUGGUGACUAAUAGAAGUUUGGAUCUCUAUUUUUAGAGGAGGGAUUGAGAAAAUUUUUGUAUGGGGAAUAAUUCUAUUCUAUUAGCAAGAAUCGUGUUGUUUUUUGCCAUUGCUGCUAAUUAAAAUUUUAAAUAUUGUCAAAAGUG